CCCCUUGUAGUAUAGAAAGUAUAUCUAGUUUCCACCUAGAAGGGGCCAUUAGGCAAGGGGA
rnacentral:tRNA from 1 species